GGACCAGGCCUCCUGCAGGGAGAGGGGCCAGAGGACUUGAGCCCCAGGGCGAGGGCCGCCACCUGCCCACACGCUGCGUCAAGGAACUCGGCGCCCGGACCGCAGCACGUGACCAAGAGAGGCUGGGGUGCUGGCAGCUGGGACAGAGGCCCGCUGGGGUAGCGACGCACAUUCUGGAGAGAACUGCGGGUAGGGGUGCCUGGCUGUUCAGCUGUGUGGCCGUGCGUGUCCCAGCGUGGACACUCAAGUUGGGCUGUGCUGGCAGGUGGGCCGACGGGAGGCCCGAGUGGGGUCGGUUCUCAGCCUCUGUUCUGAGAAAUUAUAGAUCUACCAGAGAACGUGCACGCCCAGAAAUUGACCAGGUAAAGCUGGACUUCCCGAGCGGUUAGUGGGUCCCCACCUCCUGACGCCCAGGGGUGCCCUGCCCAGCACCAUCCUGUCUGUUCCCAAGCCCCAAAGUUUUGCUGUCUGGGCUGAGAGCUCCCGAAAGGUGCUGCCGAGUGCGACGCCUGCCCCGACAGUCCUCCCCUGCGGUGGUCCCAGUCAGCGCGGCGGGGCCGGCCCAAGCACGACGCUGGUGUGUCUGCCCGUGGCCGGCGAGCGGGCUUUCUGUGAGCAUGUACAGUGCUGUGUCCCCGGGGGGUGGGUGACAGGGAGGGGCCGCCACUAGCUCCUUCCACCCACUGAGCCGACCGCCGUGGGGGCGCUUCUGUCUGGGGCUGCCAGGACCUGGUAGCAAGCCUUCAGCUACGGCUCUCGGUGCGGACGUGGGUUUCCGGCCUCUUGGGCAAAUUCUUCCAGGAGAGCUGCUGGCUCGCGUGUUUAGGUGUGACGGUUAUGAGACUUUAAGUCACCCCUGCACCCGGCUUGCGGCUCAAGCUCAUCCCCCCUCCCCCCACCGCCAGCUGCAGCGCCGCGGGGGCUAAGCCGGCUGCUCCGGUCCCACAGCACACCCCGGAGAGUGCACGAGCCCUGCGUAUCCCUCGCCGGGCGGCUCUCAGCGCUGCCUUCCCCAGGGUGCGCUCUCCAAGGUGGGCCGGCUUUUCCCUUGUCUCCUAAGAGUGUGGAUUAUCAGGUAUAAUAUUUGGGAGCAUUUUUCCCAGUCUGUGGCUCGGCCGUUUUUUUAAAAAUGGGGCACGUGGGUGGCUAAGUCAGUGAAGCGUCAGACUUUUGACGUCACCUUGGGUCUCCAUCUCUGGGUUGGGGGUUCAAGCCCGGCCUUGGCCUCCGCACGGGCCGUAGGGCCUCCUAGAAUGCAGAGGUUGGUUUUGACAAGCUGCCCCGCUGGUUUGGCUUUUCUCUGGCUCAGGCUUUCCACGUGCCUCACAGCAGAUGACAGCGAUCUUCCAAUGGAGGGGUGUGGGGCACCUUCCCCUUGACUUAGAUCUUCAUGAAUCUUGAGCUGUUUUCGACGUGGUACUUUCGGAGGAUCUUUAGUUUGGUGCCGCCAUGGACGGGACCCUCUUCAUUACGUGAACAGCUGUUCCCAGCACGUGGAAAUGGAGUGGAUUUUGUUUUUCCUAAUCUGGUGUCCCAGGACCUGGCUGAAUGAACUUGCCAGUGCUGGCUUUGUAGGUGUCUCUGGGUCUCUAGGAUUAGCUCCUUGGGGGGUCGGCUCCCCGGUGGAGGGUCAGCUCCCUGGUGAGUAAGGACGUUUCUCCUUUCUCCUUCCCAGCCUGUAGCCAUUUCCGUGGCUUCCUGGUGCCUCACAGCAUGGCCAGCACCAUGCCAGACCGGCCGCGCCUCGCUCCUGGUUUUAGAGUUUCUUAACUAGAAGCCUCUCCUCCUGCUGUGCAGAUGCGUGUCCCACACACGUCGGUGUGCUUUCCACGUCCACUUUCUCUGUCCUGUUUCAUGCACCGGCGGGUCCUCACGCAGGGGCCGUGCUGGUUGUCUCUGUGGUCGUCUCUAGUGUGUGCUGGAGCACACGCCGCAUCCACGGCUCUGACCACGCGCUGUCCUGUCCGGACCGCUGUUCUUUCCGGAGGCGGGGGCGGCCAGACCUCACGCUGCUGCCGGGAACUCAUUCCACUCCAGCAAGCUGACACACUCCCUUUGCUCUGUUAAAACUCACUGUGACUGGUUUUGUGGCUCACGCCGGGUCUGGGCUGGAGAAUGCGCGCGGGCAGGCUGUUCUGAGCACAGGCGGGUUCCGGGGGCGAGCGCAUGCUCUGCGCCUUGGGCGUCCUGGGUGAUGGGUCCUCCAGGCCAUCUACCGCUCCAGGAGAACGUCAGCCUCUGGGUCUCAGGGUGCCUGGCUGGCUCAGUCAGUGAGGCGUCCGAUUCAUGGUUUCGGCUCAGAUCGUGAUCUCGGGGAUGCAAGAUUGAGUCCCGCCCUGGUCUUCAUGCUCCUGGGGGAGUCUGCACCCCUCCCCCGAUGCGCUCGCUUGCUCUCUCAAUUUUUUUAUUUUUACAGAUUUUAUUUAUUUGACAGA